UAGCUGAUUGGUAAAGCUCUUGGCUUCCGAACCAGGGAUCCCGGGUUUGAAUCCUGG
rnacentral:tRNA from 1 species